rnacentral:rRNA from 1 species
CAGAGAGUUCGAUUCUGACCAGAUUGAACGCUGGCGGGAUGCUUUACACAUGCAAGUCGAACGGCAGCUGGACUUCGGUCUGGUGGCGAGUGGCGAACGGGUGAGUAAUGUAUCGGAACGUGCCUAGUAGCGGGGGAUAACUACGCGAAAGCGUAGCUAAUACCACAUACGCCCUUCGGGGAAAAGCAGGGGACCUUUGGGCACUCGCACUAUUAGAGCAGCCGAUAUCGGAUUAGCUAGUUGGUGGGGUAACGGCUCACCGAGGCGACGAUCCGUAGCUGGUUUGAGAGGGACGACCAGCCACACUGGGACUGAGACACGGCCCAGACUCCUACGGGAGAGCAGCAGUGGGGAAUUUUGGACAGCAGUGGGGAAACCCUGAUCCAGCCAUCCGCGUGUGCGAUGAAGGCCUUCAGGUUGUAAAGCACUUUUGGCGAGGAAAGAAACGGCACGGGAUAAUACCCCAUUUACGCUGACGGUAUACCUGCAGAAUAAGCGCCGGCUAACUACGUGCCAGCAGCCGCGGUAAUACGUAGGGUGCAAGCGUUAAUCGGAAUUACUGGGCGUAAAGCGUGCGCAGGCGGUUCGGAAAGAAAGAUGUGAAAUCCAGAGCUUAACUUUGGAACUGCAUUUUAACUUCUGAGCUAGAAGGGUGUGUGUCAGAGGGAGGUGGAAUUCACGUGUAGCAGUGAAAUGCGUAGAUAUGCGGAGAGAGGAACACCGAUGGCGAAGGCAGCCUCCUGGGAUAACGCGACGCUCAUGCACGAAAGCGUGAGGCAAACAGGAUUAGAUACCCUGGUAGUCCACGCCCUAACUGAUGUCAACUAGCUGUUGGGUAUGGGCCUUGGUAGCGCAGCUUGCUGCGGUAAUUGACCACUGGAGUACGGUCGCAAGAUUAAAACUCAAGAGGAAUUGGCCGGGGACCCGCACAAGCGGUGGAUGAUGUGGAUUAAUUCGAUGCAACGCGAAAAACCUUACCUACCCUUGACAUGUCUGGAAUCCCGAAGAGAUUUGGGAGUAGCAAGAGGAGCAAGACACAGGUGCUGCAUGGCUGUCGUCAGCUCAUUCGUGUCAGUGAGAUGUUGGGUUAAGUCCCGCAACGAGCGCAACCCUUGUCAUUAGUUGCUACGAAGAGACUCUAAUGAGACUGCCGGUGAUGACCGGAAGGUGGGGAUGACGUCAAGUCCUCAUGGCCCUUAUGGUGAGAACCCUGCACGUCGCCCACAAUGGCGAUCGGGACAGAGGUCGCCAACCCGCGAGAGGGCGCAAUCCCAGAAACCCGAUCGUAGUCGGAUGCCAGUCUGCAACUCGACUGCGUGGAAGUCGGAAUCGCUGAAGUAAUCGCGGAUCGGCAUGUCGCGGUGAAUACGUUCCCGGGUCUUGUACACCGCCCGUCACACCAUGGGAGUGGGUUUCAAGAAGGAGUUAGCCUAACCGUAAGGAGGGCGAUUACCACGGUAGGAUUCAUGACUGGGGGUGAAGUCGUAACAAGGUAG